UGAGCUUUGUCCAUCUGCAGCCCCUUCUUCCUUCCCACAGGAUCAGGCCACUGUGGAGAUGGGAUCUACUCAGAACACCAUGUCUUAAGGCUUGAGUAUGAACUGCUCACUAAAGGAGCUGACAUCCCAUUUCCGCUAUGGAAAGGCCACUGCUGCAGCUACAGAGCUUUCGGUGCUGCCUGAUGGUGGCACAUUUGCGGGAUCUCUUUCCUCUGUCAAGAACACAUGUCUGGAACACAAGGGAUGCAGGAGCCUGAGGCUGUGGACGAAAGCACAGAUGAAGGGUAAGGACAAAGGAGAAUGCACCCCAGGCAUAGAUGGUCACUGGCCAGGACUGGGACAGCGAUAGCCACCGUUCACUUGGGCCCAGCGGUCUCUCACAGUUACUUCUAAAAUGUGACUGUGACCUGUCUGUCCUCCACCCCACCUCACAAGAGCCACUGCGAACACUGAAGAAAGAAGGUACAUUAUGCUUUGGGGUGAACCAGACCACACGGAGCCACAGCACAUUCGCAGAGAAGACGUGAGGAAGGAGCUCAGGCCUGAGCUGUGGCAAAGGAAGGCGACGUUGGCAGGGCGAAUCCAUGCUGCCAGCGUCCUUAGGGAAACCGAAUUUCCUGUCAUUCAUGGCCCAGAAGCAUGCCCCACUUUAUUUGUUCAGUAAGGACCUUGCCCCAGAAGACUGGGCACUGUGUCGAUCUCAGUGGUUCUAGGGAUCAAACUCAGGCUUUGGACAUGAUAGGCAAGUGCUCUAGCCCUGAGGAUACACCACAGUCCCUAAAGACUUUUUAUAUCUUCGAGUAUCAUUUAUCGGUUUAGCAAUUAGUGCCAUUCUGGGCACAUCGAACAUGUACUGAAAACGUUUGGUGAGAGACUGAUUGAAUGAUUAAGCAACGAGUAAAGGAGUAGGUUCUUGUUUCAA